rnacentral:rRNA from 1 species
UUUCCGUAGGUGAACCUGCGGAAGGAUCAUUAUCCAUCUAAAACCAGGUGCGGUCGCGGCCUCCAGGUGAUAACCUGGGUGGUUUCGCGCCGCAUUCCUGCACCCUUUUUUUACGAGCACCUUUGUUCUCCUUCGGCGGGGCAACCUGCCGCUGGAACUUGAUAAAACCUUUUUUUGCAUCUAGCAUUACCUGUUCUGAUACAAAUAAUCGUUACAACUUUCAACAAUGGAUCUCUUGGCUCUGGCAUCGAUGAAGAACGCAGCGAAAUGCGAUAAGUAGUGUGAAUUGCAGAAUUCAGUGAAUCAUCGAAUCUUUGAACGCACAUUGCGCCCCUCGGUAUUCCGUGGGGCAUGCCUGUUCGAGCGUCAUCUACACCCUCAAGCUCUGCUUGGUGUUGGGCGUCUGUCCCGCCUCUGCGCGCGGACUCGCCCCAAAUUCAUUGGCAGCGGUCUUUGCCUCCUCUCGCGCAGCACAAUUGCGUCUGCGAGGGGGCGUGGCCCGCAUCCACGAAGCAACAUUACCGUCUUUGACCUCGGAUCAGGUAGGGAUACCCGCUGAACUUAA